GCUUUCUCCUGAGCCGUCGGAGGGAGCCGGAGCGCUUCUCCCGAGUUGGUGAUAGAUUGGUGGUCAUCCAACAUGCAGAAAUGAAUGAGCAGUGAAAAGCAGCAGAGCCGAUGGGUCAUGUGGAUGUAAGUGCGUUUGAAGGCUUCCACACCCUCUACUCCAGGAUGCUUUUCAACUUAUGGUGGUGUUACAUCCUGAUAAACACAAUCCUCAGAAGUACUUUGGAAACGUACUAGCACCAUUCUCCGAGGCCUGAUGAUCGUACAGUGGCUGGAAACAGCAUUUUCACAUGUGUUUUUCCUGAGUCUAGGUUGUCAGGUGGAUCCUUCUUAGGCUCCUCAGUUUGAACAAACUGUCAGAGUGUAUCAAAGAAUACCAGAUAGGAGAAAGAAAAGUUAACAGCUGAAAAAAAAAAAAAAAGAUGGGAAAAAAGAGUAGGCACUCCCCUCCACCCACUCUCCGGUUCCAUUCAGCACACUGACUUCAUUCAGCAGUUUUUUUCCUGCUUUGUAUGCAAAGACAGAGCCUCUCAUGAGAACUUGGAUGGUGGAGUAUAAA
rnacentral:sRNA from 1 species